rnacentral:misc_RNA from 1 species
CCCUUCAAUUUAUUGCCUAGAUUGCUCUCUAAAACAUUAUACUGAUGCCAUACAAAAUUUUUCUCCUUCAAAAAUGCAGAUAUCUCAGAAUGCUUUUCAGAAGCAGCUUCUCAUAUUCAAACUUUAACCUUCUUACUUCAUCAUGCAACCUUUUAGAACCAGCAGAGUUUAAAUCGCCAUGGCGACCUCCUUCCUUUCCAUUGUCAGUUUCCUUGGAAUUUUU